rnacentral:tRNA from 1 species
AAUUGCGUUAUCAUUAUGGUUUAAGCGAAAAGCAACUUUUAAGUUAUGUAAAAGAAGCACGAC